rnacentral:rRNA from 1 species
AAAACGACUCUCGGCAACGGAUAUCUCGGCUCUCGCAUCGAUGAAGAACGUAGCGAACUGCGAUACUUGGUGUGAAUUGCAGAAUCCCGUGAACCAUCGAGUCUUUGAACGCAAGUUGCGCCCGAAGCCUUCGGGCCGAGGGCACGUCUGCCUGGGCGUCACGC